rnacentral:tRNA from 1 species
GGCUCUUUGGUGAAAUAGGAGAUCAUACAAAGCUACGAACUUUGUGUUCUGGGUUCAAAUCCCGGAGGAGCUA